rnacentral:rRNA from 1 species
AACGGGUAACGGAGGAUUAGGGUUUGAUUCCGGAGAAGGAGCAUGAGAAACGGCUACUAUUUCUAAGGAAAGCAGCAGGCGCGCAAAUUAUUCAAUGGAAACAAUUUUCCGAAAUAGUGACAAAAAAUAUCAAUGCUGGGUACUAUGUAUCUAGUAAUUGGAAUGAGUACAAUUUAAAUCCCUUAACAAGUAACAAUUAGAGGGCAAGUCUGGUGCCAGCAGCCGCGGUAAUUCCAGCUCUAAUAGCGUAUAUUAAUAUUGUUGCAGUUAAAAAGCUCGUAGUUGAAAUUUGGGACUUUAUUGUAUUGGUUUGUCUUUCGAUGAACUAUAUAAUGGGUUUCUUCCUACUAGAGUUCGAUUCUGUUCUUAACUGAAUGGAGUAGCUAUCUCUCGGGGUAGUCAGUUGGUAUUAUGUCUCCACUAAUAAAGCAGAGAAGGAGUAAAAAUCUUCAAAGUAAGUUAUGUGGGUCAAGAUAUAGUGAUUAAUUGGAGUUCUAGUUCAUUUUACUUGAGAAAUUAGAGUGUUUAAAGCAGCCU